rnacentral:lncRNA from 1 species
CUGGACUUAAAGAGAGUGUGCGCUUGUGCCAUGCCCAAUCCGAGCGGACUUCAGUCCACUUCCGCGCGGACAGCACGUAGUUCGUCCUGGACAAAACUACGAAGUUUUAGCAACUCGUCAUGAAAUGAACGAAACUCCCCUCGGAGAAGGUUCGCUUGUUCUUGGAUGAGUGCCUUUGUUGCCACCGUGAACUCGGCAUAUUCCCCCUCNN